rnacentral:rRNA from 1 species
UACAGAGGUGGCAAGCGUUGUUCGGAAUUACUGGGCGUAAAGGGCGCGUAGGCGGUUCUGUAAGCCCCGCGUGAAAUCCCCCGGCUCAACUGGGGAACUGCGCGGGAAACUGUGGGGCUAGAGUUCAGGAGAGGGAAGCGGAAUUCCGGGUGUAGCGGUGAAAUGCGUAGAUAUCAGGAAGAACACCCGUGGCGAAAGCGGCUCUCUGGAACGGUACUGACGCUGAGACGCGAAAGCGUGGGGAGCGAACAGG